rnacentral:rRNA from 1 species
AUAGUUCGAUAGAAUGUUUUUUAUUUUGGUUUCUUUAGUUUGAGUACCUUUUGCAUCAUGAUUUGUUGAAAAUAAUUUACGGAUUGUAAUUUUCCGAAGGCUAAUGAUUUUCUCUCUAAUAGUUUAGAACUUAGCUGUUAAUGUGUAAUUUUAGUGAAAUUAGUGGGAGGUUGUGAUAAAUAAUUCGAAUUAGCUUAUAUCUGAUUGAAGGAUUGUUUUUUGGCUUAAUGCAGCUUGGCUAGGAUGUCAUGUUGUGGUAAAGAGAGAUAUGAAGUUUUUGAUAUUUGAGUAAGGUUAAAAUUACCUCACUUUUAAGAGUGUGUUAAGACUCUGUUAUAUGUUUUUUUCUCUUUUGUGAAGCUUCCUUUUUUUGAAUUGAUUUUUUGAUAAUGAUAGAAUUAGUAGAUUUUAUUGGCUUCUUUUUUUCUCGAUUACUUUCGGUCUGUUUAUUAAAAACAUUUCUAUCCGUAAAAUUUGGAUAGUAUUACCUGCCCAAUGCUUUAUGUGAAUGGCCGCAGUAUAUUGACUGUGCUAAGGUAGCAUAAUUAGUUGCCUCAUAAUUGGAGGAUUGUUUGAAUGGUUUGACCAGAGAGUUUGAUUAGAUGGAGGUCUAUUAUUGAAAUUGGAUUCUAGGUGCAGAUCCCUGGGGUGUUUAAUAAGACGGAAAGACCCCGAGAUCUUUAUCUUGCGAGAUUUGUUUGGGGUAAAAGCAUAUAUUUUAUGUGUUUUUUGAUCCUAAAGGAAUAAGGUUAAAGUUACCUCGGGGAUAACUAGGUAAAAGAGGAGGAGAGAUCAUAUCGAUUCCUUUAAUUGCCAUCUCGAUGUUGACUUAGGAAAUAUAUCAGGCUGUAGGUGGUUUGAUUAUUAGGUCUGUUCGACCUAGGUUCCUUCAUGAGUUGAGUUAAGACCGGCGUGAGCCAGGUCGGUUCUUAUCUAUUAUUGAUAUGAGUUAGUACGAAAGGAUUUUUCAUGUUUAAUGUUUAAA